GGAAGGGUCGCAUAGAGGCCUAGUGCGCCUGCUUGGAGAGCAGGUAUACCGAAAGGUAUCGCGAGUUCGAAUCUCGCCCCUUCCG
rnacentral:tRNA from 7 species